GAUGAAGAACGUAGCAAAAUGCGAUAAGUAAUGUGAAUUGCAGAAUUCAGUGAAUCAUCGAAUCUUUGAACGCACAUUGCGCCCGCCAGUAUUCUGGCGGGCAUGCCUGUUCGAGCGUCAUUUCAACCCUCAAGCACAGCUUGGUGUUGGGACUCGCGUUAAUUCGCGUUCCUCAAAUUGAUUGGCGGUCACGUCGAGCUUCCAUAGCGUAGUAGUAAAACCCUCGUUACUGGUAAUCGUCGCGGCCACGCCGUUAAACCCCAACUUCUGAAUGUUGACCUCGGAUCAGGUAGGAAUACCCGCUGAACUUAAUCAUAUCAAUAAGCGGAGGA
rnacentral:misc_RNA from 1 species